rnacentral:lncRNA from 1 species
UGGUGUUUACGGCGUCGUUUGCUGCGGGACUUAUUACUCUUCUUCCGGAUCUUAAGAGCCUCCCUAUCUCUGCAGUUACGGUGGCGGCGACGGUGACGAGGGGAGGAUAAGUCCGACGAUGAGGAAGAAUCGAAUGUGUGGGAAGAGACUGAAGACGACGAGGGGGCCAUGGUUAGAGACGAGGAGAGAAGAGGUGAAGCACAAGGGUUUUGGUUCAAAAUUUGGGAGCUUCGAUGAAACAAGUCCGAAUCAUCGCGUGGGGCAUUUUUUUUUUUUUUUUUUUUUUUU